UACGAAGGAUCCAAGCGUUAUCCGGAUUUAUUGGGUUUAAAGGGUGCGUAGGUGGACUAUUAAGUCAGUGGUGAAAGCUUCCCGCUUAACGGGAAAAUUGCCAUUGAUACUGAUGGUCUUGAGUGCAUUUGAAGUGGGCGGAAUGUGUCGUGUAGUAGUGAAAUACUUAGAUAUGACACAGAACACCGAUUGCGAAGGCAGCUCACUAAACUGUAACUGACACUGAGGCACGAAAGCGUGGGGAUCAAACAGG
rnacentral:rRNA from 1 species